rnacentral:rRNA from 1 species
GGAUGAACGCUAGCGGGAGGCUUAACACAUGCAAGUCGAGGGGUAAAUGGUAGCAAUACUAUGAGACCGGCGGACGGGUGCGUAACGCGUAUGCAACAUACCUUGUGCAGGGGGAUAGCCCGUGGAAACGCGGAUUAAUAUUCCAUAGUCCAGCUAUAUCGCAUGGUAUAGUUGGUAAAGAUUUAUCGGCACAAGUUUGGCAUGCGUCUGAUUAGCUUGUUGGUAGGGUAACGGCCUACCAAGGCAAUGACGGGUAGGGGACCUGAGAGGGUGGCCCCCCACAAUGGAACUGAAACACGGUCCAUACACCUACGGGUGGCAGCAGUAGGGAAUAUUAGUAAUGGGCGGAAGCCUGAACUAGCAACACCGCGUGUGCGAAGAAGGCCUUCGGGUUGUAAAGCACUUUUAGAGAGGAUGAGGAAGGACGGUACUCUCUGAAUAAGUCUCGGCUAACUACGUGCCAGCAGCCGCGGUAACACGUAGGAGGCAAACGUUAUCCGGAUUUACUGGGCGUAAAGCGCAUGUAGGUGGUUCUGUAAGUAGGGCGUGAAAGCUCCCGGCUCAACUGGGAGAGGCCGUUCUAAACUACAGAGCUAGAGGAUGGUAGAGGGAGGUGGAAUUCCGGGUGUAGCGGUGGAAUGCGCAGAUAUCCGGAGGAACACCAGUGGCGAAAGCGGCCUCCUGGUCCAUUCCUGACACUCAGAUGCGAAAGCUAGGGUAGCAAACGGGAUUAGAGACUCCGGUAGUCCUAGCCCUAAACGAUGCAGACUAGGCGUCGGCGGUUUAAUCACCGUCGGUGUCCAAGCUAACGCGAUAAGUCUGCCGCCUGAGGACUACGGCCGCAAGGCUAAAACUUAAAGGAAUUGACGGGUCCCCGCACAAGCAGCGGAGCGUGUGGUUUAAUUCGAUGCUCCGCGAAGAACCUUACCUGGGUUUGACAUAACAGUGGUAGAGAAGUGAAAACGGACCGACCCUUCGGGGAGCUGUUACAGGUGUUGCAUGGCUGUCGUCAGCUCGUGUCGUGAGAUGUUCGGUUAAGUCCGCUAACGAGCGCAACCCGCGCUGUGUGUUACAAGUGUCACACAGUACCGCCGGUAUUAAGUCGGAGGAAGGUGCGGAUGACGUCAAGUCAGCAUGACCUUUAUAUCCAGGGCUACACACACGCUACAAUGGUCAGAACAAUAGGUUGCCAAGCCGCAAGGCGGAGCCAAUCCUCCAAAUCUGGCCUCAGUUCAGAUUGCAGGCUGCAACUCGCCUGCAUGAAGUCGGAGUUGCUAGUAACCGCAGGUCAGCAUACUGCGGUGAAUACGUUCCCGGGGAU